rnacentral:rRNA from 1 species
AUUGAACGCUGGCGGCAUGCCUUACACAUGCAAGUCGAACGGCAGCACGGGUGCUUGCACCUGGUGGCGAGUGGCGAACGGGUGAGUAAUACAUCGGAACAUGUCCUGUAGUGGGGGAUAGCCCGGCGAAAGCCGGAUUAAUACCGCAUACGAUCUACGGAUGAAAGCGGGGGACCUUCGGGCCUCGCGCUAUAGGGUUGGCCGAUGGCUGAUUAGCUAGUUGGUGGGGUAAAGGCCUACCAAGGCGACGAUCAGUAGCUGGUCUGAGAGGACGACCAGCCACACUGGGACUGAGACACGGCCCAGACUCCUACGGGAGGGAGCAGUGGGGAAUUUUGGACAAAGGGCGAAAGCCUGAUCCAACAAUGCCGCGUGUGUGAAGGAGGCCUUCGGGUUGUAAAGCACUUUUGUCCGGAAAGAAAUCCUUGGCUCUAAUACAGUCGGGGGAUGACGGUACCGGAAGAAUAAGCACCGGCUAACUACGUG